GUCCUCAUCAGUCAGCAUCAUGAAUGGAGCUAGAACUCACAGGGAAGGUAGAAGUUUGCAUACAUGCUGUCUGGAAAGCACCAUUGCUUCAGAAUCAUCCACUACCUUGGCAUGUUACCAAAAUGAUAUAUGCAGCAAUUAUCUGGCCAAUCCAAAGUGAUUCUGUGCUCACUGCUGUCAUCAUAAUUGCCAUUGGAAUGUGAAGCCAAUGGAAAUAACCUGAGAAUUAUCCCUAAGUAGAAAUAAGAAGUGUGGAAUCUAUGUCCCUAUUCUCCAUUGCCUGAUACUUACCAGCAACUGCAAUGUCCUUACAUGAUGGGAUGCUUGACCAAAGGAAAGGAAAGACAGAACAUACAGAGAAGGCAAGCACGGUGCUAUCCUGGUCAACAUCAUGCAUUUUGCACCGAGUACAGUACCUGCCAUGUGUAAAUCUGAUGAUUCCAUCUGAGUAGCUGCUUAAAAGCAAGAAAGAAUAUUGUGCAUUUUCCCUUUCUCACUUUUAUUCUAUCUGGAAAAGCUUUUCAAGUCAAUUUUGAAAUUUACUUUACUGGAUGAUUCAUGCUUUACAUUAAAAAAGU